GGUGGAACACUCCGAGAGUAUAAGGGCAAAGCUUGCUUUAGUUAUUAAUGUAAAUUAAUAAUACUGGAAACAGGGGCCUAGAGAUCCUCUAUGAAACUAAGCAUAGAGGUGACGGAAAAGUUACCACAGGGAUAACUGGCUUGUGGCGGCCGAGCGUCCAUAGCGACGCCGCUUUUUGAUUCUUCGAUGUCGGCUCUUCCGAGCAUGGUGGAGUAUCAGCCACCAAGUGUGUGAUUGUUCACCAACUAACAGGGAACGUGAGCUGGGUUUAGACCGUCGCGAGACAGGUUAGUUUUACCCUACUGCAUCGCGUCCGAGAGUAGGUCGGGGCAGUACGAGAGGAAGUGCCGAUCAGAACCGCUGGUGAUACUUUCGUCUGUUAAGGCGCGAAGUGUAGCUACGUUCUUCUUAUAAUAGCUGAAAGCCUCUAAGCUAGAAUGAGUACUUAAGGACGCAAAGAUAUGAAGACUACAUAUGUAAGGAUGAGGGUUGUACGAUAUAAGCUUCUGCGAGUAUUUCAGACCACUUAUUUCCUUUUUUAGAACAUGCUUGCUC
rnacentral:ncRNA from 1 species